rnacentral:rRNA from 1 species
CAGUGAUGUCUGAGCAAAUUAUUUAAAUAAGCAAAACUUUCAACAACGGAUCUCUUGGUUCUGGCAUCGAUGAAGAACGCAGCGAAAUGCGAUAAGUAAUGUGGACCGCAGUACUCAGCGACUCAUCGAAUCUUUGAACGCACAUUGCGCCCCUU